CAGGUUCUCCACAUAUGAUUCUACUUGCCAAAUUGCACAAGAGAUUGCUGAGAAAAUUCAACAGCGGAAUAGGUAUGAAAGAAAUGGUGAAAAUACAACCAAGCUUACCGUGACAAUCAGAGCUUUGUUGCAGAAUCUGAAGG